rnacentral:rRNA from 1 species
AUGCGCCAGCUAAGGCUCGUCACCAACAUGAGGGCUCAUAAUGACACCUGGUUUGUGGACUACUUGCUAAGGGUAGGCAAUGGCACCGAGGAAGUUUACGAUCAAGGAAACAUACGACUCCCUGAAGAUAUUUUUGUGCCGUCUACAGGCAAGGGUGACAACCUGGAGAAGCUGAUUGACCAUGUGUUUCCGAGACUAGAUGACAACAUGUCCGAUCCGAAUUACAUGACUUCACGUGCAAUCCUCUUCACCACGAACGACAAAGUCGACAAGAUAAACAUACGCAUGGUAGAGCAUUUUCGGCGAGAAGUAAUCUACCAUAGCUUUGACAGUGUAGAAGACAACCCGUAUGGCUACUACGCUCCCGAGUUCCUAAAUGGAUUGACUCCCAACGGUCUGCCUCCGCAUGCACUCAAACUGAAGCUCAACUGCCCUGUCAUACUUCUCCGGAACAUUGAUCCGGCUAAUGGUCUGUGUAAUGGACGAGGCUUGUGGUGCGAGGUUUCGAGAGGAACACCAUCGACGCAGAAAUCGUGA